UACAGAGGUCUCAAGCGUUGUUCGGAUUCAUUGGGCGUAAAGGGUGCGUAGGUGGCGCGCUAAGUCAGGUGUGAAAUUUCGGAGCUUAACUCCGAAACUGCAUUUGAUACUGGCGUGCUUGAGGACUGGAGAGGAGACUGGAAUUCCUGGUGUAGCGGUGAAAUGCGCAGAUAUCAGGAGGAACACCCGGUGGCGAAGGCGGCUUGCUGGGCCGAGUUCUGA
rnacentral:rRNA from 1 species